CCCGAUCCGAAACAUGUUAGCUUUCACCAAAAGAAAGUUGUUAGAAUUGUUAGCCUUUCUAUAACAACAGUACAGGAGCCGGUGCUGCCGGCAACACUAACAAUAUCCUUUCUCAGAAAGAUAACGGCGGCUAACAAAAAAUCCGGCGCAGACUCAGUAGUUGAUAUUGGCAAACAGUCGACAACACUAACAAUAUCCUUUCUCAGAAAGAUAACGGCGGCUAACAAAAAAAAUCCAGCGCAGACUCAGAAGCCCAGUUGAUAUUUUUAAUCACGUUGAGCCUCUCGAAAAUCUCGAAGAGAAUCUGUAAAGAAUGUAAAGAAAUGUAAUAAAAUAUGGUUUAACAUGUCAGGUUAAGCCAUGGGCCUAAUGUAUAUAUAAUAUUUGACAAAGAAGGCGUGAAAUCGUAGAGCACUCUAACAAUUCAAACAGUCGGUCAUAAACCGAUGUCCAAAUCUCGGAAUCCUGUCUAUUGAGAACCGACUGACAAAGAUACGGUUAAGUAAUCACUUCUAAUCAAGCAUAAGUGAUGUGUGGCACUGGUUUAGUCAAAUGAAAAGUAAAAACAUCUAUUCAUCACAGACGAGGAAUCGUAAUCGUCGCCACUAUAUGGCAGUUUUAAUAGUCAAAUCGGAAACCGGCAUCGAAAUUCUGGAUUCUUGUUCAGCUCUUCUAGUGUUGUCAUCCGCCUGUCCUCAAUUAAGGAGACGGAUUAAUAUACGUAUGCAUAUACUUUUUUUCUGAAUCCUGUUAAUAUUUAUGUAUGAAAUGUAAAGAAAUGUAAAAUAUGGUUUAGACUAAAUUCCGGAUUUACAUGACCUCUUUUUAUAAAGAGGAUUUAACAACUAGAAACUGAUUUGACACCCGAUACGACUGAUGUUAUACGUUUCAAGCGGUAUUAUGUUAGUGGGGUUAGCCGCUAGGAAGCGUAACACGGGAUACCGUGUAGAAACCGUGCGGUAUUGGUGUUAACACUUCAAGCAGAACACGGGAUGGAAUACUGGGAUGUGGAACUCUUCAAUGCAAAGAGAUGUGAAAAAUGCGACGAAGAUUUGCACGAAAGGGGCCAAAAUACAUGAGUGUAUGAUAGCUCAGGAAGACGAGUGGAGUAUUUCCGAUAUCAGGGGUCUUCUUGCAAUACAAGUACAAUCAAUGAAGGAAGAUGUAGUGAUGUGCCAUUUGCUGUUCCGGACAACAAUCAUGUUGAUGACCUAGGAAAUGUUGCAUCUGGCAGCAAUAGAAAGUAUAGCCAGAAGAGGAAGCAGCUAUCGGAUUCCUGGAAAGCUGUCUACAAAAGGUAGGAGACUGUUCGUUUUCAAGCAGGGAAUGUGCUGCGAUCCAAAAUUAAAAAUGACAAACUUGACAUCACUGGAGUAUUUGGUUCAGUGUGUAAACACGACUUCCCCCAGAAAUUUUGCAACCUUAGACAUGGUGAAAGGUAAUGGUUAUAAUUUCCGACAUCCAAAACAUUCGUUUGUGCUGUAGAGUUAUCACCUAGAUGGAAAUUCAGGAGGUACACUUCACUGGGAUUCAUUCACUCAGACUGACCAUUAUAACAACCAUAAAGAGGACACUACUUGUAUGAAUGGGGGAUUUGUUGUUUCUUAUUUCUGCAUCUAGGAGAAAAAUGUUAACUGUUAUUACCGAAUAUUUUAAUGAAUGACAAAAUACCUUAUUAUCCCACGCGAAACGCAUUUGCGGGGGAUAUUAAAUUGGGGUCCGUUCGAGAUUCUUUUCCGGGCUAUAACUCCAUAACCGUUCAUAGCAGCUCCUUGAAACUUUCUGUAUAUAUCAGACUAGUGCCCUAGUUGUGCCUUUUGCUAUUGAGGACCUUCAAUUUUCGGUAAUUUUUCUGUCGCCAUGGAAACUUAGUCAAAA